UGUGACUUCCUAUUGAUAGAGUCUUUCUCUGAAUCCCUCGGAGAAGAAAUCCAUCGUGGUGCCUGGAUCCAGGCUCCCAAUUUAUAUCUGACUUUCUGACCUGUUUUGAGUGGUGUACCACAAGGGAGUGUCAUUGGGCCUCUAUUCUUACUCUAUAUUUGCUGACGACUCCAAAUGUUUUAAUGAGAUCUCCUCUGCAGUUGACUGCUCUAUAUAGUGCUGCAAGAGAAACCGAAUGCAGCCCACAACUCAAGUGGAGCAUAUAUACUAUCUAUGAGUGGAGCGAUGAAUGGGACUUAAAGUUUAACAUUAUAGCCAAAAAAUUGCCAGUACGAUUUUCAAAAAGUAGUUGUAGACCUCCACCAUAUGAUUAAACGAUCCAUGGGAUAACAUCUCUGCCUGCAGUACAACUAAAGAUCUUGCAUGGUAUCAAUUUUUCAUCAGAUGUAUUGUGGUCACACUUGUCAGAUCCUUGUGGUCUUAUGGUUCCCAGGUAUGGAGACCUACUUUAGGGAAAGAUAUUGUGAGUUUGGAAAGGAUUCAGAGACGUGCUACUAAGUUUAUAUUGUCAGAUUAUUAUUCUACCUACAAGGAUCAUUUGAUUAUAAACUCAGCCUCCUGCCACUAGCUAUGUAUCUUGAAUAUCUGGAUAUUUCUUUUAUGUUCCAUGCACUGCUCAGUAUAUGGAUGCUGGUGGUAACUUUGAUCUCUCUUCUUAUAUCUCCUUUGCUCACAGUACUACCAGGGCUGCUAGCCUCAAUAUAAACUGCUACACAACACUCCCCAGUCCCCACUUAACUCUUUCCUCUCAUUUCUAUUUUAAUUGCCUUCCCCGAUUUUGGAACAAACUUCCUUUCUUCAAUCUCUCCCAAUCUAUUCACACUCUGUAUUAAACUCAAGAAAUUUCUCUGGUCCUAAUUUCUAGAUAAUUUUGAUGGUAAUAAUCCUAGAUGUACUUUUAUUUUUAUGUGUAUUUGCAAUAAAUUUUUGCCAUGUCCUACGUCCACUAACUUGUUUCAUCUCUCAUACUGGUAUUUGUUGUCUUUUUCUUUUCUCUACUACUGUGUCUGUGUUACCCUACUUAUUAGUUUAUUUAUACUGGGUAUGCAGCUUCUCGGUUGUAUGUCUCUCAAACUGCA